rnacentral:rRNA from 1 species
GUCAGCAGCCGCGGGAACACCGGCGGCCCGAGUGGUGAUCGUGAUUAUUGGGUCUAAAGGGUCCGUAGCCGGUUUGGUCAGUCCUCCGGGAAAUCUGAUAGCUCAACUAUUAGGCUUUCGGGGGAUACUGCCAGACUUGGAACCGGGAGAGGUAAGAGGUACUACAGGGGUAGGAGUGAAAUCUUGUAAUCCCUGUGGGACCACCUGUGGCGAAGGCGUCUUACCAGAACGGGUUCGACGGUGAGGGACGAAAGCUGGGGGCACGAACCGGAUUAGAUACCCGGGUAGUCCCAGCCGUAAACGAUGCUCGCUAGGUGUCAGGCAUGGCGCGACCGUGUCUGGUGCCGCAGGGAAGCCGUGAAGCGAGCCACCUGGGAAGUACGGCCGCAAGGCUGAAACUUAAAGGAAUUGGCGGGGGAGCACAACAACGGGUGGAGCCUGCGGUUUAAUUGGACUCAACGCCGGACAACUCACCGGGGGCGACAGCAAUAUGUAGGCCAAGCUGAAGACUUUGCCUGAAUCGCUGAGAAGAGGUGCAUGG